AGUGAACGCUGGCGGUAGGCCUAACACAUGCAAGUCGAACGGCAGCACAGUAAGAGCUUGCUCUUACGGGUGGCGAGUGGCGGACGGGUGAGGAAUACAUCGGAAUCUAGUUUUCGUGGGGGAUAACGUAGGGAAACUUACGCUAAUACCGCAUACGACCUACGGGUGAAAGCAGGGGAUCUUCGGACCUUGCGCGAUUGAAUGAGCCGAUGUCGGAUUAGCUAGUUGGCGGGGUAAAGGCCCACCAAGGCGACGAUCCGUAGCUGGUCUGAGAGGAUGAUCAGCCACACUGGAACUGAGACACGGUCCAGACUCCUACGGGAGGCAGCAGUGGGGAAUAUUGGACAAUGGGCGCAAGCCUGAUCCAGCCAUACCGCGUGGGUGAAGAAGGCCUUCGGGUUGUAAAGCCCUUUUGUUGGGAAAGAAAAGCAGCAGGUUAAUACCCCGCUGUUCUGACGGUACCCAAAGAAUAAGCACCGGCUAACUUCGUG
rnacentral:rRNA from 1 species